rnacentral:rRNA from 2 species
GGUUCGUAGUGAACUGCGGAGGAUCAUUA